CCAAGAAUUUAAGCGCAUUCGCUGAUUAUCUAGAAGAAGAAAAAACAAGCAGCUAAGAGUAAAACAAUCAGAGAAAGAUGUCAUCAGAAUGUCCAGCUCCAUAUUAAGAAUAAUUCUUCUGAGCUGUUCUCGCACAAGACACUCACUCGGAAGAAUGUAUGGCCAGAACUAGUUGGAGAAAAGGGAAAGGUGGCUGCUGAAGUUAUACAAAGAGAGAAUCCCAAUGUUACUCAAGCAACUGUUUUACCAGAUGGUACUCCAGUGAUUCUAAACUUCAGAUGUGAUCGGGU